UUCUAAUACCUGCAUGCUUAUAAUUGCAUAUAAAUAAUAAAGUGGUGUGAUCUAUAUUUCAUCAGAUUGGUUCCACCAUUUUACCUCUGCAAUGGACUAGCAGGUGGAUAGAGUAGUGUAUCUGUUACAAAUGUCAUUAUCAUUAUCCAGAUAUUUGUUUUGGAAUUGUUGGGGGCAAUGAUUUCAAGUCGUCCGACUAAUCGCGAUUAAUCGCGAUUAGUCGGGCUAGUCGGUUUUAGUGGAGCGACCAGGGUAUCCGACCCGAUUAGGCCGACUAAUCGUCCAGUCGUUCGGUUAGUCGUCGACCAAGUGCGAUUAGUCGUCCAGUUAAUGUGUGGACGAUUAGUUAGGUUUGGUCGGCUGGCAGCUGGCCUGUUUUUGCUUUGGGCUGGACGUCUAGUAAGUCUGCAACUCUACAUCAUAUGUUAUGUAGUGAGUAUGAGUGAUAUUCAGUUCAUGUUCUGAAAUUUGAAUUCUUAAUUCUGAAAUAUGAUCUGAGUGCCUGACAAUUCUAGUAUUCAUAAUUUCUAUGAUGUUCUGAAAUUUGAAUUGUCCACUCUCCACUGUCCAGUUCUAGUAUUCAUAUUUGUUUUGUUUGGUAAUUUGGUUACUUUGAUAUUGCGUCCUAUAUGCUAUAUUGCUAUAUGCUACGCAUAUAUAUAUAAUAUUACAUUAUUACACAUAUAUAUAAUUAUAUAUAUAGGUCCUGUACCUGUAAAUAUGCAGGAGGACCAGUAGGGACGAUCAGGUCGACUAGGACCCGAUUAGUCGACCUAAUCGUCGACUGGUCGACUAAUCGCGAUUAGUCGCCUGGUCGCCUAGGUGUCUCGACUAGCUAGUCGAGUGACUUGAAACCAUUGGUUGGGGGACAUGUCGCAAUUCUGAAAGAAUAACAACAGGGCAACACGAUUAGUUUGUUAAUUCCUGCUCCCCUUCAUGCUUUUGGGGGAGGGGGAGAAGGUAGUGAAAGGGUUUUGUCAACUUUUGAAUGUAAUCUCAUGAUUAUUUUUAUACAGAAGCUUUAAUCUGUAAAGCAAGCAAUGAACCAAGAAAAAAGUAUAUGGCAUAAGGCUGUAUAAGCUUCGGAUAUGAAAGGGUAACGAAAGGGAUCGAGUUCCUGUACAACCCUAUAUGAAAUAACAUCUUCACCCUCCCUUUUACAUAGUAACGCUUUACAUUCGAAGGUGUAUAUUUCCGACCUUCCACUAUAUAGACAUGUCACACACGAUUUCUCUCGGUCGAAGCUUCUUUUAGGCGCCACUUUUAAAGGUAUUUGUAUAUUCUGGCGACGCUGUUAGAAUACAAGUAAAUUGCCCACCUCUCUUUAUCAGCUUUAGUUUUUUGGGUUGAAUUGGUUGGGACAUGCAACUCAAUAUGCUAUCAAAGACGUAGUUAUUAAGGCGAGUUAAGGUGAGCGACUCCCUUUUCAACUUAUAAGUGGAAAGACGUAAGGUGAGACGACGCCUUACCCAUAUAUAAAUAUAGGAAAAUAUAGAGAGUUAAGGCGAGGUGUUCAUAGAAAUAUAUAAUAUAAUGUAUAUAUUUGCACACAAAAUUUGGUCUUGAAACACUCUAAUGGGUCUCUAACAUACAUAACUCAAAGAAUCCAGUAUUUCCUUUGAAUUAUACUCUGUCAAAAGAUGUUAGAAAGAAAAAAAGAAGUGGAAAAGAAGAAAAAAAAGGAUGGUAUGGACUUUUAUUUGGUGGCCCAUCUAGAAGCCCAUUAACUCAGCACAAACCCAGGUUCCACCACAGCCACACCCAAAUCCUAACUUUUUCCCUGCUCUAGCAGCCGCCGUCGAUUCUAUGCCUUCUAGGCUCAUAGCUUCGGUGCACCGUUGCCUCCCCCACUUGCGCUCAGCACGCAAGCUCAGUUGCGGCUCCCCAUCCUGCCGCGCUCCUGCGACCUCGCCGCCGUGCGCACCUGCGACCUCUGCCGCCGCGCCUUACGUCCGCGGGCAAGGCGAGCAGGACACCUUAUAAAAUAAUUAUUGUUUGUUCCUAUCCUAUGUCUAAGCCGUGGGAGAGCCACGACGUGAGAGUGAGUGUUAGAAUACAAGUGAAUUGUCCACCUCUUUUUGUCAGCUUAAGCUUUUAAGUUGAAUUGGUCGGUGCAUGCAACACAAUUGUCGUCGAAGCUUCACUUCUCAGCAUCUUUAACAUUAUUUGCUUUUUAACUCUCCCCCGGCUAGACGAAUCAGACUAGAUGAAUUAGACUGACGGAGGUCAGGGGGCGAAUGUUGCC